GGGCAGCGUCCCUGGGCUGGCAGACAAUGGCGCUUCACCGAGGCAGGGCUCCUGAGCCCGCAUUUUAUGCGGUGAGGAUGACUGACAGCCUUAUCUUGUGAUUUCCUAGCUGCUGAGGAUUUUCCUGUGCUGGGCAUCCUGGGCAGCCCCGCUGGGGCUGGCAGGCUGUGCUGGAGGAGGGGAAGGGAAGCCUGGGAGGCUGGUGUGAUGCCGUGCCCUGUGGGUUAUCCUUCACAAACUUGUAAACAGCUGUCGGAUUUGAUGGAGAAAUGGGAGAGGGAGGAACUCCUGUUACCAUUGUGUCAGAUGCAGCAAGGCGUCUUCUGGUCUCUUUAGACGCGUUAAAAGCAUCUCUUAGCAUCUCUCCCGUGACUUCAGUUUGUUAAGGCAGUAUCAUCUCCUCUGAAAAACAGAGCCAGGUCCACAGCUGGCAGAGGGACACAUCCAAAGGAGCCUGGUUUCGAAGGGAGGAGCUGCCCAAGGUUCGGGGAAGGCCCAUAGCAAAGGCUGAGGCAACUGGUCCCACCGAUGGAGGUGCGUCUGGUGCGCAGGUGUUGCCGAGUUGGGCACCGGAACAUCCCUGGCUUUAACUAGCCAGAUUUUCCAUCUGCAGAUAUGAGAAGAGCGAGCGUUUUGGCAUUCAGAGGCGUAGCUGCCCACGGUCAGGAGAUAUCCCUCGACUCCUGACCUGCAGGGUGGCACGGCACAGGGACGUUGUUUGCAGGGGCUGGGGCGGCAGGACAGCACCGUCACCCUGCGUCCCUGAGCCAUCCCGGGCCAGGCUUCUCCCGCUGCCCUGUGCCCGCUUUCUUCUUUACGUGAUCGCUGCUUCACCCUGUUUCUAGCACUCACCAUCAUGAAACACAGAUAGCUUGCAGAGAGGAAAAUUGAAAGAACAGUAUUUAAUGUGGGUUUCAGACACUGUGUUGUGAAUAAUGAUGGAUGCAGAGAAAAAGCAGGGAGUGUUAAUGUGGGGUAGCAGGAACCAGCCCAGAGAAACUUCCCUGGGGGCCUGAUGCUGACCAGCUGGAAGAGGCUGGCAAGUUUGCUCUGUACCUAAAUGAGAGCAAAACUGGCCAGCUAUUUGUUUACCAUGAACUAGGAAGAUAUAGUAGGAUUUUACAAUUGAGCUUUUUGCAAAAGAAACGUAUUUUAAAUUAACUCGGAAUGUCUCCUUUAAGAGAAAAAAAUCAGUGUAUUCCAGUGGUCAGGUUUCAGAUUGCUUAUAUACAAAUACUGGUCCAGAUUUGUAAAGAGAGACAAGCCAGCCCUGGGAGUUUAUCAGCUUUGUGUGUGUUAACGUGCGCGCACAGAUCUAGCAGAUUACACUGAGUUACUAAUGGUGUGGCUCACUCCUUAAUAAAAAGUUUAAAGGCAGGCUUGGACUAGGUGAUAGGUUUAGUUUCUCCGGGGCAUUGCAGAGAGCGUGUAAGGAGCCUUCCGGGACGGGGGGUGCUGCUGGCACCGACUGGGGCUUCCCUCCUUUCCCACCAACGCCAGGGACCCACAGGCUCCUGCGGGAAGCCAAACUGCAGCCUCCUACCUUACUGCUCAAAAUCACUGCAGCAAAAGCCUUUUGCUGCCUUCAGCACCCAUUAUCAAAAAGAUCUGCAGGGCUGGGCCGCGGGGCUGAAGGAAUUUUAGUAUUGUGAUGCACUUUUUCACUGCGGGAAGGUGCUGUUGGCUGUGGGCUUUGGGCUUUGGGAAAGCCUGGGUGUUUUGGGACAGCCCGCUGCUGCAAGGAGAAAAGCCCCAGGUCUCUAUUUUCCUGGCUGUGUUUACAGUCCCAUGCUGGUGCUACCCAGGAGUUUUUCCUGACAGUCAUUUGUAUCUCGUCAUCCCUAGGCUUUGGCCAGCCUUGGGCCAGGUUUGAUGGCUUCGUGAAGAUGUGACCCAUUUUUACUCUCCGUUGGGUGCCGGCCACAGCCCACCAGGGCAGGCAGGGCAGUCAGGCCUCUUCAGCAAGCGCUGCUGAGGCAGGGUGAGCUUAGCUUUGCUGCGCUGCCCUGGGCUUAGCAGGUUAUUCCUAAGGAGCAAUGAGCUGGUGAUCCCACUUAGAUACAUCCUUCAACUCCAUCCAGCUGGAGAUGUCAGCAGAGCUGGCAGCACCAGCAAAGGUGGCGUCGGUGACCAUGGAUGGGGCGUUGGACAACAAUUAUUUUGCUUUUCUGCUCUGGCGUGACUCGAUGAGCCCCACAUGCUUUGGUACCUGCUGCACAGUUAAAGCACAGCCCCCAACAUGGGGGUCUCGCUGCUGUGGACCCCGUGUCACCUCCCCAAACUCCCUCCAACCUCGGCAGUGCACGGGCAGGAUCCGCUCCUGCCUGUCCAGGGCAGGUCUGCCCCUCCGCACCAGUUUGCAAACACCCCACUGUUGGACAAACUGGG